AUGAACGCUGGCGGCGCGCCUAACACAUGCAAGUCGAACGGCACCCCUCUCCGGAGGGAAGCGAGUGGCGAACGGCUGAGUAACACGUGGAGAACCUGCCCCCUCCCCCGGGAUAGCCGCCCGAAAGGACGGGUAAUACCGGAUACCCCGGGGUGCCGCAUGGCACCCCGGCUAAAGCCCCGACGGGAGGGGAUGGCUCCGCGGCCCAUCAGGUAGACGGCGGGGUGACGGCCCACCGUGCCGACAACGGGUAGCCGGGUUGAGAGACCGACCGGCCAGAUUGGGACUGAGACACGGCCCAGACUCCUACGGGAGGCAGCAGUGGGGAAUCUUGCGCAAUGGGGGGAACCCUGACGCAGCGACGCCGCGUGCGGGACGGAGGCCUUCGGGUCGUAAACCGCUUUCAGCAGGGAAGAGUCAAGACUGUACCUGCAGAAGAAGCCCCGGCUAACUACGUGCCAGCAGCCGCGGUAAUACGUAGGGGGCGAGCGUUAUCCGGAUUCAUUGGGCGUAAAGCGCGCGUAGGCGGCCCGGCAGGCCGGGGGUCGAAGCGGGGGGCUCAACCCCCCGAAGCCCCCGGAACCUCCGCGGCUUGGGUCCGGUAGGGGAGGGUGGAACACCCGGUGUAGCGGUGGAAUGCGCAGAUAUCGGGUGGAACACCGGUGGCGAAGGCGGCCCUCUGGGCCGAGACCGACGCUGAGGCGCGAAAGCUGGGGGAGCGAACAGGAUUAGAUACCCUGGUAGUCCCAGCCGUAAACGAUGGACGCUAGGUGUGGGGGGACGAUCCCCCCGUGCCGCAGCCAACGCAUUAAGCGUCCCGCCUGGGGAGUACGGCCGCAAGGCUAAAACUCAAAGGAAUUGACGGGGGCCCGCACAAGCAGCGGAGCAUGUGGCUUAAUUCGAAGCAACGCGAAGAACCUUACCAGGGUUUGACAUCCUGCUAACGAAGUAGAGAUACAUUAGGUGCCCUUCGGGGAAAGCAGAGACAGGUGGUGCAUGGUUGUCGUCAGCUCGUGUCGUGAGAUGUUGGGUUAAGUCCCGCAACGAGCGCAACCCUUAUCGCUAGUAGCCCUCAUUCAGUUGGGCACUCUAGUGAGACUGCCGUGGAUAACACGGAGGAAGGUGGGGAUGACGUCAAAUCAUCAUGCCCUUUAUGACUUGGGCUACACACGUGCUACAAUGGCGUAAACAAAGGGAAGCAAAGCUGUGAAGCCGAGCAAAUCCCAAAAAUAACGUCUCAGUUCGGACUGUAGUCUGCAACCCGACUACACGAAGCUGGAAUCGCUAGUAAUCGCAGAUCAGAAUGCUGCGGUGAAUACGUUCCCGGGUCUUGUACACACCGCCCGUCACACCAUGGGAGUUGGGAAUGCCCGAGGCCAGUGACCUAACCGUAAGGAAGGGGCUGUCGAAGGCAGGCUCGAUAACUGGGGUG
rnacentral:rRNA from 1 species